rfam:Cricetulus griseus cell line CHO-K1, whole genome shotgun sequence.
GGAGAGAUGGCUCAGUGGUUAAGAGCACUGACUGCUCUUCCAGAGGACCUGGGUUCAAUUCCCAGCACCUACA